UACGUAGGGGGCAAGCGUUGUCCGGAAUCAUUGGGCGUAAAGAGCGCGUAGGCGGUCCGAUAAGUCGGUUGUGAAAACUGGGGGCUCAACCCUCAGAGGCCGACCGAUACUGUCGGGCUAGAGUCCGGAAGAGGCGAGUGGAAUUCCUGGUGUAGCGGUGAAAUGCGCAGAUAUCAGGAGGAACACCAAUGGCGAAGGCAGCUCGCUGGGACGGUACUGACGCUGAGGAGCGAAAGCAUGGGGAGCGAACAGG
rnacentral:rRNA from 1 species